rnacentral:lncRNA from 1 species
CUUUGGAGUUUUCCGCCAACAGCACGGGGGUGGACCAGUGCGCAGGCCAAGAGGCGGGAGAACCAGACAUCGCCAGUUAACGUUUAAGGUGUCAGUACUAAGGAAUCCGACACUGACCCACUACCGAUCUCAUAGGGAUGCCACUCCUGCUACUCGGGUGGUCGUUCCUGUAAACCUCAAUGCCGCUGAAUUCAGGCAGGCACUACGGGACAAUAUUGCAGACAUACCUUUGCAGUUCGAUCUAUGCAAAGUGAAUGGACAGCGGCUCAUUCUUCCUCUUGAAGAGGAGACGCCCCAAGAAAUUAGAGCAAGAAACCUACUGGGUCGCUCCAAUCUUUAUAUCCGUCCAAAGAUUACAGAAGCCAAUGACGACUCAACUGGUGGAGAAGUGGUGCAGUCUGAAAUGGCAAUUGUGCUGCAUGACACAGAGACACCUGACCAUGGCAGGCACAAUGUACAGGAGCCAGAGGUUAUCAGUGGUCUGCAUGAAAACCAUACAGCUAAUUCUAGUAGGCCUGGUCUCCAGGAACCAGAGGUUAACAGGGAAGAGUUUUACAUCGACUCUGCAGAGUCAGAAGUAUCAGACCUGGAUGAGGCUGUCCUGGCUUCCCCUGAACAAAAUGAUUCACAUGUAUGUGUCAUGA